rnacentral:lncRNA from 1 species
CUAACUGAAUCUAAUUCAAUUAAAUCUGAUCCAAUCUCCAUAGCUCAAUCAAAUUAAGUCAAUAAUUAUCAAAUUAUUAAUUAAUUAUUAAUCUAAUUUAUCAAUUAUUAGUAAAUAAUUUAUUACAAUCUUUGCAUAAGAUUAAUUAUCAAUCAUAUUGAUAAUUAAAUUCUUCAAUGAUUCAUAAUCGUCGAUCAGCUAUUUGAUCAGACAAGUACUUUUAUGUGUGUGACCCCAUAGG